AGGUAAGCUGGAUUAAAUACCUUAACAACAUACGGAUGUUACACUCUCUGAAACACACACGUCAAACGUCAUCCGUAUAUACUACACUAAAUGAUGAUAUGAUAAAAGAGAAGUCCGCGCCCAGGCUUUAUGACGAGGUACAUGGAACAGAGGACGGUCAUACCAGGUCCUACGUCAACAUGGCCUUCACAGGGAACACAUCUAGUGGUGGGACAUAGCGUUAAGAACAACAGAUUAUGAUGAAACAUUUACAAUCACUGACAUCACGCUAGGAUGAGUGGAGGUCAUGCUGCAUCAAACAGGUUAACAUCGCGGAUAUUUUGACGAGGGCUCAAAUCAAUAUCAACUCCGUGUUGUUUCAUGUGGUACUGCAUCAAUAUGGAUGUGAUAUUAAUGUUUUUGUCGAACAUUCUUUUUAUGUAUAUUUGUUUUACCAAUUGGUUAAUUAAUUUCAAAAUAUGUAUACAUAGUGCAUAGACAUUUAUAUAUCAUGUUUAAUAUUUAUGUCGUACAUAUCUCUGCCUUGCUUUUAUUUUUACUAUUAUUUGUAGUCAUGUUUUGCCAAUUAAUUUCCAAAAUACUUACUUUUGCAUUGUUAUAUAAAGGAAAAAUGGAAUAUGAAAAAGGAAUAGAUAAAAAGGCAUUUGCAUAAUUUAAGGAUGCACUCAUCUCAGGUUUCGUUCAGGUUCAAAUCACGUUCUGAUCUAGUGUGACGGUUUAUAUAAAAUUAAACAACUGAUGAUCAAUUUUACACGAAUACAUGCAACCGAAAAUAUGUAAAUAAACGACAUGCCUAUAGUAUGUAUUUACAGAACUAUUUUUUUCUCAAAUGAAAAAUAAAAGACUUUAUUCGGCAGCCAUUUGAAUAUCCGAAAUGAUGUGUAUUUGAAGCAAUGCUAAAAGGUCACUUUUUGACACUUGAUCUAUCACUAAAAAUGUAAGUAUCGCAAAGUGUAACUAUAGCGAGUUGAUUUUUUCAUGUUUAAGUUUCAAAUAUUCAGUAUUAUGAAAAUAAAACGCAACACAGAGGACAAUAAUACGAUAUUGAUAUUUAACUAGGUCACCUUUUGUUUGUCGUCGUGCGUACAUUUUUCAAUUUGUAGACUUCUUCUGCAGAACCAGUAUUUGUUUUGUUUUCAAACUUAGUCAGGAUAACCCUUGGUGGAAGAGGGUAUCAAAUUGUAAAAGUGGGGUCCCUGCUUAGAACCAAAGGGCAACCCUUCUCACGGGGUGGUCGGGUGGUGUAGUGGAUAGCGCACUUGCCUUUCACCAAGGCGACCGAGGUUUGAUUCCCCGAUCGAACGUGGAACGUUUCGGCGUCACCUGCCCGACAACAUGAGUUUUCUCCGGGUACUCCAGUUACUCCCACCCUAACACCCGGGCCAACAAGAUUGAUUAAUAUAAGUUGAAUUAACUUGUUUCAUAAUUGUCCUAAAAUAAAUAUAGUUUAUGUUUUAAUUGAAGAGGGGUAACAUUUAGCGUAGUUUAUAAAGGGAAACAGUACUUUCGGGUAUAUUUCCAUUUCCAGCGGGUAAUUUAAACUUAGUUAAGAUAAAAAUUGCUAAAAAAAA